rnacentral:rRNA from 1 species
UCGCUCCCCUAGCUUUCGCGCCUCAGCGUCAGUGUCAGCCCAGCAACCCGCCUUCGCCGCAGGUGUUCCUCUCGAUAUCUACGCAUUUCACCGCUACACCGAGAAUUCCAGUUGCCCCUUCUGCACUCUAGCCCUGCAGUAUCAGUUGACCUUUCCGAGUUAAGCCCGGAGAUUUCACAAUUGACUUGCAGUGGCCGCCUACGCGCCCUUUACGCCCAUUU